CUAAAAAAGUAAAGAGGAAAAAAACACAAAGAAAUUCCGCUCCUCCCUCCCUCUCCCUCCCACCGACCGCCGUCUCGCCUCGCCACCCCCGCCGAGCUUCGUGAACGAAUCCCGUCAAACUCCGCGCCACCCUCGACUCUCUACUAUCGCACGCGCACCGUGAAGGAAGGAUAAGCCCCGCGGGCCGGCGGUCUCCACCUCGCCGUUUCAGUCGCUACGGCCGUGGCAGAAGGCGGCGGCGGAGGCGCGUGCGGUGACCCUCCCCACCUAUCCCGAUCCUCCGGUCCCCGCGUGCUUCUCCGGUGACUCACCACGGAAAUUUAAUGGGAAAGAAGAAUUACCAGGACCGCAAGGGGGCCAAAUACAAAUAUAGCAGUGGUUCGCUGGAUAUAUGCACCCGAGAUGAAGUUCAUCAGGACAGCAAAGAACGACACGAAGCCGACCAGAUAGGUGAUCGCAGAUGACGAGGUCACAAUAUCCAGAUGCAUUAUCCGAUGGAAAUAGGCCACAAUGGUGAGGUUUGCGCUGCUAGGGCAGCUUCGCAGCACAGCCAAAACUGCAAAUGAACAUUAAAUUCAAUUCCAACAGUUUGUGUUUUGCUGGUUCAAUAUGGAUGCAACUCUGUUAUUCCAGAAUCAAGAGGAACAGAUACGUCUGUGGUUAGUUGAAACCAUCCAUGAGAAUCGUUUAGUUUACCCACCUGCUGUAAAUGACCUUACGCAGUGGGGCCCAGACUUUGCUUGGCCAAAACUGACUUGCUGGUAAUAACAUUUCAGUUUGUCUUAUGUCACAAACGUCUUAUCAACCAGGUAUUCAGUGUGGAGUUAUUUUGCACUUGCAGCAUUCAGGUAUGGGAGCUCUCUGGAACUCUACAAAUUGUUCGCUGGUGCAGAGUCAAAAUUUUGUGUCAGACUUGUACCUUUGCCCGAAACCCAAAAUAUUAAAAAUUUGCAGUUGCAUGGAUGAUCUGUAUUUAUCAGAUGCGGUGUCUUUUGGUUGUAUUUCAACAUUUAUGAUGUCAAAGUGCUUCAUGCUUCUCUAGCUGCAUUGCACUAAUCACAAGGCCUUUUUUUUUCAGACCAAGUGUAGGAUAAAUGUCAAAGACUCUUUGAUCAGCUAUGAAGAAGAGAAAGAACAUCGUUUUGGCAGAUGUGUCUUUGCUAGCUAAGACGAGAAGAGUAGGAGAAAAUCCUGCCAGAUGUGUGCAAGUGAUGGGAAUCUUCUGAAAGUUACAAAGUAUUUUAUUAUGCAAGCUUGAUAUCUGGUGAUAUAUGAUCGGUUUUGUUUAGGACGAGAAGUGAAUCAAUUCGGUUAUAUAGUCCUGGAGGCUGGAAUCGGAAACAGAAUAUUUCAGAUGAUCACGAACAUGAGUGCUGUCAUUUUCCAUAUAAUUUUUUGAGUCUCCUUA